UAUAAUUUACUUGAAUUUGACAACCCUACUUGGAUACCGGUGGUAAUUCUAGCGCUAAUACAUGCACCAAAGCUCCGACCGCGAGGGAAGAGCGCAUUUAUUAGAACAAAACCACACGGCUUCGGCCGUCCAAUGUUGACUCAGAAUAACUAAGCUGAUCGCAUGGUCUUGCACCGGCGACGUUUCUUUCAAGUAUCUGCCUUAUCAACUUUCGAUGGUAGUGUAUCUGACUACCAUGGUGAUGACGGGUAACGGAGGAUGAGGGUUCGACUCCGGAGAAGGGGCCUGAGAAAUGGCCACUACGUCUAAGGAUGGCAGCAGGCGCGCAAAUUACCCACUCUCAGUACGAGGAGGUAGUGACGAGAAAUAACAAGACCGUUCUCACAAGAGGCCGGUCAUUGGAAUGGGUACAAUUUAAACCCUUUAACGAGUAUCUAUGAGAGGGCAAGUCUGGUGCCAGCAGCCGCGGUAAUUCCAGCUCUCAAAAUGCAUAGAAUUAUUGCUGCGGUUAAAAAGCUCGUAGUUGGAUCUGUGCUGGCCUCCCGGUCCACCUCCGGGUGCGCACUGGGCAGGUUGGCUUUUCUGUCGUUUACGCGGAUGUUCCUAACGGGGCAACCGCAUCGCGACAAUUUUACCUUGAACAAAUCAGAGUGCUCAAAACAGGCGUUUCGCUUGAAUGUUCGUGCAUGGAAUAAUAGAAGAGGAUUUCGGUUCUAUUUUAUUGGUUUUAUAGACUGAGAUAAUGGUUAACAGAGACAAACGGGGGCAUUCGUAUUGCUGCGUGAGAGGUGAAAUUCUUGGACCGUAGCAAGACGGACUACAGCGAAAGCAUUUGCCAAGAAUGUCUUCAUUAAUCAAGAACGAAAGUCAGAGGUUCGAA
rnacentral:rRNA from 1 species